GGGAGUAUAGCCAAGUGGUAAGGCAAUGGACUGCAACUCCAUGAUCGUAGGUUCAAAUCCUACUACUCCCUCCA
rnacentral:tRNA from 1 species